UACGGAGGGUGCAAGCGUUAUCCGGAUUUACUGGGUUUAAAGGGUGCGUAGGUGGGUAGGAAAGUCAGUGGUGAAAUCUUCGGGGCUUAACCCGGAAACUGCCAUUGAUACUAUUUAUCUUGAAUACUCUGGAGGUAAGCGGAAUAUGUCAUGUAGCGGUGAAAUGCUUAGAUAUGACAUAGAACACCAAUUGCGAAGGCAGCUUACUACAUAGUUAUUGACACUGAGGCACGAAAGCGUGGGGAUCAAACAGGAUUAGAAAACCCCUAGGU
rnacentral:rRNA from 1 species